GAAUCUUAAGCCCUCACCACGCCCUGGCAUUCCCUAGAAAAUGGGCUGAACCAAUCCACAGGCGGGGAAGAGCAGAGCCGGCCUGCCUGCCCCGGGGGGUCUGUUGCCGCUUUGGGGACCCGUGUUUGUGUAAGGAGCUCUCCUGCAGGUUCCAGGAGGAUGAAAACAUCCAAUGACUCCCAGACGUUGCUGAGCUGGACGCAUUUAUUUGUACUAACGCUCCUGGCCACACACUUCCAGAUGGACGGUCCCAAAGAGAAUCGUUUGUUUCCUCUCGUCUCCCUCCACCAUGCACUUUACGACUGCAGAGGGUCAGGCUCACCAUGUGUUUCCCUCUCAUCUCACCCGGCAUGUAUUCUCAAGGUCACCACAAGGCCCAACAUAGCUGCUGAAGCUCCAGCCAUCCUAUCUGCAUUCCAGCCCCUGCGGAGCCGAGUCUGUGAGCUGCGCUACGACUCAGCGUGGUUAAUCACAACAUCUUGGGGCAAGUUGGAAGAAGCCGAUGGGUCCCUCAUAUGUGUUGGGCUGCAUCACUGCCAACCCCUGCCAGCUUUCCCCAGAACCUGGAGACAAGGGAGUUAUUGGAAAAAGAUUCUGCUCGUCUGGAAUCCUUCUCAGAGGACGGUCUUGGCAGGGCUGUUGCCACACACUUGCAACUGGUUUAUCGAGAAAUAGCCGCUUGCUGGGAGGGGAACUGCGGGAAGUCAUCUAGCACAUGGUGCUCUGCCGGCUCCGGUGACGAGCAGAUGAAAUGCUAUCGCUCGUCCAACAAGACCUCAGAAGUGACUCACUGAAUCCCUGAGGCCUCUUUAGAAGAAGAAUCUCCUACUUCCUCGGCAGCUCCUCCCUUUGCUCAGCCUGGUUUCCAGGAAGCAAGACAGUCAGGCUCCCUCAGAUCAGCUCUGCAGGGAGCAGAUGCUCUUGGAGUGGUUCUUCCCCAGUCUGGCUGGCUGAGUUGAAUGGCUGUUUAUGAGUUCUAAAAUGGUGCCUUUUCCAAACAUGGCCUUGGUACCGUAUCCUGGAAAUCUCUCCAUUCCGGAUGCAGCAAGGGAGGCAGACGUACCUAUCCUGAGAGAGGCAGGCUGGACCAGUGCCUGGGCAGAACCAGGCUCUGCGGGCGCGGGGAUGGAGGGCUUUGGGAGGUGAAGAAAUCAGCAUCUGCCAUUGAUGUCUUCAGCCUCUGGGCUUUGGAUGUCUUUGACUGCUAUCCCCCAGAGUCUAGGAGUUUAAUGUAGUGGUGGGUGACUUGUAAAGGAGAAAGCCCAGAGCUGGAACUCACACAGACCCAGUUUGACUCCCAGCUCCAGCACAUACUACUAACUGUGUGACCUAGGGAUGUAACUCAGCCUCUCUGAGCUCCUGGUUCUAUACCUGGAAAAUGG
rnacentral:lncRNA from 1 species